GGAAUUUUCCGCAAUGGGCGAGAGCCUGACGGAGCAACGCCGCGUGAGGGAUGAAGGCCUCUGGGCUGUAAACCUCUUUUAUCAAGGAAGAAGAUCUGACGGUACUUGAUGAAUAAGCCACGGCUAAUUCCGUGCCAGCAGCCGCGGUAAUACGGGAGUGGCAAGCGUUAUCCGGAAUUAUUGGGCGUAAAGCGUCCGCAGGCGGUCUUGUAAGUCUGUCGUUAAAGCGUGGAGCUUAACUCCAUUUGAGCGAUGGAAACUGCAAGACUAGAGUGUGGUAGGGGCAGAGGGAAUUCCCGGUGUAGCGGUGAAAUGCGUAGAUAUCGGGAAGAACACCAGUGGCGAAGGCGCUCUGCUGGGCCAUAACUGACGCUCAUGGACGAAAGCCAGGGGAGCGAAAGGGAUUAGAUACCCCCGUAGUC
rnacentral:rRNA from 1 species